UGUUUCACAGUAAACGAAGCGCCGCGCUGCCUCCUCCUGCAUUAUGCAAUAUUUACCAGUGUGCAACACCACGGGCCUUCAAUCUUACUGAAUCCACAGAAUGAACGCUGUUUAACACUGUAGCCAUUCACUGCUACAUGACAUCACUACCUUGCUUACUCACGACCCGACGGCAGCAGCGUGGGGUCUACCUCCGCCCCAACAGAGCUGUUACAAUGUGACGACCAACUUCAUCAGUGUUCGGGGGGCGUGCCUUUCUCUGGCUGCUCACACACCUGGCAGAGGUCGUCACUGCACCUGCACCUCAUCAACCCAGCAGUAUUUUAGGAGCAGCCACACAUCCAGUCAACGCUGGAUUGUUGUGAAGAAUCAUCUCUGGAGAUCGGCCCUGGAUACUCAGUCCCAGAACUCAACUCACUCGGCUCACGCCUCCCUUAAAACAGUGUGUGGACCUCCACCCUCCAAGCCUGUCAGCCAGCCACUCUCAGGAACGUCCCCCACACCUGGACCCCCACUCUUGACCUCCAGCAGCCCCACCUCGCACAAUAACGUUGUCAAAUAAACCGUUGAAAGCAC